ensembl:lncRNA
CUGAGUAUCAUUGCCAUAGAUUUUACAAAGGAUAUUGUUUCUGGACUUCCCUAUAGCUCAAAUGAAUUCCAUGGACAGAGGAGCCUAGUAGGCUACAGUCUGCAAAGAGUUGGACACAACUGAGCAACUAACACACACAGAGUUUUAAAAAUCCAAAGAAGACUCCUGAGAAUCCCUUGGACUGCAAAGAGAUCAAACCAGUCAAUCCUAAAGGAAAUCAGUUCUGAAUAUUCAUUGGAAGAACUGAUGCUGAAGCCGAAACUCCAAUAUUUGGCCACCUGAUGCGAACAGCUGACUCCUUGGAAAAGACCCUGGUGCUGGGAAAGACUGAAGACAGGAGGAGAAGGGGACGAUAAAGGAUGAGAUGGUUGGAUGGCAUCACCGACUCAAUGGACAUGAAUUUGAGGAAACUCUGGGAGAUGGCGAUGGACAG